UACGUAGGGAGCAAGCGUUGUCCGGAAUCAUUGGGCGUAAAGCGCGCGUAGGCGGCCCCGUAAGUCCGCUGUGAAAGUCAAAGGCUCAACCCUUUGAAAGCCGGUGGAUACUGUGGGGCUAGAGUCCGGAAGAGGCGAGUGGAAUUCCUGGUGUAGCGGUGGAAUGCGCAGAUAUCAGGAGGAACACCAAUAGCGAAGGCAGCUCGCUGGGACGGUACUGACGCUAAGGCGCGAAAGCGUGGGAGCGAACGAGG
rnacentral:rRNA from 1 species